AAGGAGACGUCCCAACCUUUCUAACCCCAAAGUUCUCUCAUAAUUCAAACAUUCUAAAUCUUACUACUCCAAAGAAAACACAUUGUCCAUAGUCCUGUACAUUCUAACAUCCGGAGAGCAAAGAAUUGGAAAUUCCUUAAUUCCACCCACAUUAA